rnacentral:lncRNA from 10 species
CAGCACGAACCAAGAAAUGGCAGACCGUGAUGAAUAGGAGCCUUUGUUCAUAGGAAAGACAGGAAACCCACGUACUACUUUACAUUUUAAGUCAGGAGUUCUCAAAGUGUCAUCCUCAGAUCAGCAGCCUCAGCACUGCUUGUUAGAAAUGCAACUUCUCGGCAGGGCACAGUGGCUCAUGCCUGUAAUCCCAGCACUUUGGGAGGCCGACGCAGGUGGAUCACGAGGUCAGGAGAUUGAGACAAGCCUGGCCAACAUGGAGAAACCCCAUCUCUACUAAAAAUAUAAAAUUAGCCGGGUGUGGUGGCACAUGCCUGUAAUCCCAGGUACUCAGGAGGCUGAGGCAGAAGAAUCGCUUGAACCCAGGGGGCGGAGGUUGCAGUGAGCCGAGAUCGCACCACUGCAUUCCAGCCUGGGCAACAGACCAAGACUCCAUCUCAAAAAAAGAAAUGCAAGUUCUCUGGCUCCAGCCCAGACCCACUGAAUCAGCAACUCUGGGGCUAGGACCCAGCAAUGUGUAUUUAAUAUUUAAUAAGCCUUCCAGAGAAUUCUGCUAAAGUUUGACAAUGACAUUCUUUUUUUUUUAUCAAGUUUUUUCAGUAAACUUAUUUUUUUAGUAAACAGUUUUAUAUUUACAGAAAAAUGGCAAAGAUGACAAGCAAACUGAGGCCCAGAAAGACUAAGAAACUUACCCUUGGACAUACGACUUGAAAUAAAGGAAACAAAUCAAAUCUGAGAAGUCUGACUUCGAGCCCUCCAUGCACAGCCAUUAAACUAUACGAGAGUCCUGUGAGAGACUGGAGGGCUGAAUUGAAGCAGCAGCCGUUCCGCAGCUGACAGUGCUGGUUAUCUGAUGCCUCAACUCAUUGGCAAGAGGCAGCAGCUACACCUGUAAUUGCUUCACCUUCUCCUGAAUCUUCCUUCAGCUUCUCUUACUCCUGGACCAGGUGUCAGUGUUUAUAUCUCUGGGCAAAGAGCCCUGGUUUCUCCUGGAUGCCCACACCACCAACAUUAGAAGCAACAAGAACUGACGCGGUCUCCAGCCUGCCCUCAUGGGCUCCAGUUUAUGCUAUAAAUCUUGCUGCUGCUGAGACUUUGGGUCCACACUGCUCUUAUGAGCUGUAACACUCAUCACAAAGGUCUGCAGCUUCGCUCCUGAAGAUAGCAAGACCACAAACCCACUGAGAGGAGGGAACAACUCUACAUGUGCCCUCUUAAGACCUAUUAACACUCGCCGUGAAGGUCUGUAGCUUCACUCCUGAGCCAGCGUCAGACCACGAACCCACCAGAAGGAAGAAACUCUGAACAAAUCUGAACAUCAGAAGGAAAAAACUCCAGACACGCCGCCUUUAAGAACUGUAACACUCACCACGAGGCUUCACGGCUUCAUUCUUGAAGUCAGUGAGACCAAGAACCCACCAGUUCCGGACACACUAUGAUCUCCACCACCUCCUUUUCCUCCCAGGGGAGCAUAGGAAACUUAAAAGUAUCCUGUAAGAAAGCCAGGCGCAGUGGUUCAUGCCUCUAAUUCCAGCACUUUGGGAGGCUAAGGCAGGCAGAUCACCUGAGGUUAGGAGAUUGAGACCACCUUGGCCAAUAUGUGAGCCGAGGUUGUGCUACUGUACUCCCGCCUGGGAGACAGAGCGAGACUCCUCAAAAACAAGGUAUCCUGUAAGAACCCCAGGAUUAAGGGCAGAUGGGGUCUGGAGUGUGAUAUUAAUUUCAAAACUUCAGCUAUCCAGAACCUAUAGAUUUACCUCUCUAAGCACCAAAACUUUUUAUUUUUACCAUCUUGCUUGGAAACUGCUAAAUAUAUUCUAUGCAUCUCUUUCUUAGGUAUAGGUUAACAAAUCUAUGUUCUCUGGGUUUUUCUUCAGAAUAUAGGGUUAUAGUGAUAAAUAUCAGUUAUUGUAAUGUCAGAGAAGCAUUUCGGGAAAUUAAAAUGCAUAUAAUUAUCUGCUCCUAUACCAACUAAAUCUUUCCUUUUUUUUUUUUUUUUUUUUUUUUUUUUUGAGACAGUCCUGCUCUGUUGACCCUGAGUGCUGGAGUGCAGGGACAGGAUCAUGACUCAUCACCCUUGAUCUCCCAGGGUCAGUAAUCCUCCCACUUCAGCCUCCCCAGUAGCUGGAACUACAGGCUCAUACCACCAUGCCCAGCUAAUUUUUUAAUAUCUAUAUCUAUAUCUAUAUAUAUAUUUUUUUUUGGUAAAGAUGGGGUUUUAAGCAUGUUGCCCAGGCU